ACUGCCGUCGCCGUCGCCUCCACGACUUCUCCAAGCAAAAGUCACUGUUGCCGCUGUCGUCGCUGCCAACGCCGCCGCUGCCGCUGCCGCUGCCGCUGCCGCUGCCGCUGCCUCCGCUGAAACCGCCACUGCCUUCGCUGAAACCGCUGCUGCCACCAUGGCCCAGUACAAGGGCGCUGCAAGCGAGGCGGGACGCGCCAUGCACCUAAUGAAGAAGAGGGAGAAGCAGCGUGAGCAAAUGGAGCAGAUGAAGCAGAGGAUUGCAGAGGUGUGGGCCAGGCCGGGGCACCUCAGAGCUUGCGCUCCGCGCGGACCCCCUGGCGGUCUCCUGCCACUCGUCUCUGGGAGACCUCAACAGUGGGCUAUGAGUGCCCGGAGGGCGGGCCCCGCGUUGGUGGCGAGACUUGCUGUGCAUCUCUAGUAACAGAAGUCAGCCGAGACAGUCUAAUCUAUAAAAUGGGCUCAGUGUUGGUCCAUGUCAGAGAUGGGGAGCACACUGAUGUUGGGUGAGACUCCUUGGCACUCCUCCUGAGUACAGAGCUCCCAGCCUUCCAAUGCUUAUUGGGAAGACCCCACUUCCUGUGGAGAGGCACAGGGGUAUGCCACUGAGUCUCACUCAUUACAGAGUACUAGAGUUUCUCCCAGGGUUUGUUUAGUGAGUGGUCGCUGCAUUCAGAAGCGCGAUACCAAGCUGACCACAGCUUGAUCCUUUGGGCAAGACUCCUGAGAGGAGCAGGGGGCCUUAGCUCUCCAGGUGAGAGCAGGCCCUAUCUGGGGAAGUGAGAAGACAAACGCCCAAACCAGUCUUCAGUUGGAAGUUUUUUUGUUUUGUUUUGUUUUUUGUUGUUGUUGUUGUUUUGGUUUUUUGAGACAGGGUUUCUCUGUGUAGCCCUGGCUGUCCUGGAACUCACUCUGUAGACCAGGCUGGCCUCCAACUCAGAAAUCCACCUGCCUCUGCCUCCCAAGUGCUGGGAUUAAAGGCAUGUGCCACCAUGCCCGGCCAGAUGGAAGUAUUGUCCACCCUCAACUAUGCUUGUAUAGACACCUAGUCCUACAGUUCCGGCCUCAUUGCCUCAUUGGCAGCUGGAAGUUUGCCUCUACUGGCUACUCAUUUGGAGGUCCCUUCAGAGUACCUACAGGGCACUUAUUAAUAUGGGGUCAGGCUGAAGAACAGUGGCCUUCCAGAGAGCUGCUGACAGCAUCCUGGGCC
rnacentral:lncRNA from 1 species